rnacentral:tRNA from 1 species
GAGGGUGUAGCUCAGUGGUAGAGAGUGAGCUUAGCAUGCACUGCACAAGGUCCUGGGUUCAAUCCCCAGUACCUCCA